rnacentral:tRNA from 1 species
GGGUCCGUGGUCUAGUCUGGCUAUGAGAUAUUAAGUUAAGAACUGAUAUCUAGUUAACGUUGCCUCGACAUGGCAAAGAUCGGGUGUUCAAAUCACCCCGGACCCA